rnacentral:rRNA from 1 species
UAAUACGUAGGUGGCAAGCGUUGUCCGGAUUUAUUGGGUUUAAAGGGUGCGUAGGCGGCUUUGUAAGUCAGUGGUGAAAUAUGGCAGCUCAACUGUCAAGGUGCCAUUGAUACUGCGGAGCUUGAGUACAGAUGAGGUAGGCGGAAUUGACGGUGUAGCGGUGAAAUGCUUAGAUAUCGUCAAGAACACCUAUAGCGAAGGCAGCUUACUAGGCUGUAACUGACGCUGAGGCACGAAAGUGUGGGGAUCAAACAGGAUUAGAUACCCUGGUAGUCCACACUGUAAACGUUGAUUACUCGCUGUGUGCGAUAUACAGUACGCGGCCAAGCGAAAGCGCUAAGUAAUCCACCUGGGGAGUACGCCGGCAACGGUG